UACGUAGGGUGCGAGCGUUAAUCGGAAUUACUGGGCGUAAAGCGUGCGCAGGCGGUUUGUUAAGUCUGAUGUGAAAGCCCCGGGCUCAACCUGGGAACUGCAUUGGAAACUGGCAAGCUCGAGUAUGGCAGAGGGGGGUGGAAUUCCGCGUGUAGCAGUGAAAUGCGUAGAGAUCGGAAAGAACACCAACGGCGAAAGCACUCUGCUGGGCCGACACUGACACUGAGAGACGAAAGCUAGGGGAGCGAAUGGG
rnacentral:rRNA from 1 species